UCAAGCUACUAAGGGCAUACGGCGGAUGCCUAGGCGCCAUCAGCCGAUGAAGGACGCGGUAAGCUGCGAAAAGCUACGGGGAACUGCAAGCAAGUAUUGAUCCGUAGAUGUCCGAAUGGGGAAACCCACCUGCCGUCAUGGGCAGGUAUCCGAAAGGAAGGGAACCCGGGGAACUGAAACAUCUAAGUACCCGGAGGAAGAGAAAUCAAACGAGAUGCCCACAGUAGCGGCGAGCGAAGAGGGCAGAGGGCAAACCGGUGAGCUACGGCUCGCCGGGGUUGAGGACUGCAUUUAGUCUCAAUGGUCUAUCCGAACUACCUGGAAAGGUAGGCAAUACAGUGUAAAAGCCACGUAGGUUAAAGACCAGAGAGAUGAGCAGUAUCCAGAGUACCACGAGGCACGAGGAAUCUUGUGGGAAGCCGGGGGGACCACCCUCCAACCCUAAACACUGAAUGGCGACCGAUAGCGCAUAGUACCGUGAGGGAAAGGUGAAAAGAACCCCGGGAGGGGAGUGAAAGAGAACCUGAAACCGUAUGUCUACAAGCAGUCGGAGCGAAAGCGACGGCGUGCCUAUUGAAGAAUGAACCAACGAGUUACGUGCACUAGCGAGGUUAAGUGGAAGACACGGAGCCGAAGCGAAAGCGAGUCUUAAGAGGGCGGAUAGUUAGUGUACGUAGACCCGAAACCGCAGUGAUCUACCCAUGUCCAGGUUGAAGCGCAGGUAAAAUUGCGUGGAGGACCGAACCUGUGAGCGUUGAAAAGCUUUAGGAUGAGAUGUGGGUAGAGGUGAAAUUCCAAUCGAACGCGGAGAUAGCUGGUUCUCCCCGAAAUAGCUUUAGGGCUAGCCUCAAGUAGUAAGUAUAGGCGGUAGAGCACUGAUCGGGCUAGGGGCCAUAAAGGUUACCGAACCCUGUCAAACUCCGAAUGGUUAUACUGUAGAGCUUGGGAGUCAGACUACGAGUGAUAAGAUCCGUGGUCAAAAGGGAAACAGCCCAGACCACCAGCUAAGGUCCCCAAUGUCGUACUAAGUGGAAAAGGAUGUGGGGUCUCUAAAACAACCAGGAUGUUGGCUUAGAAGCAGCCACCAUUUAAAGAGUGCGUAAUAGCUCACUGGUCGAGAGACCCUGCGCCGAAGAUUACCGGGGCUAAAGUACGAAACCGAAGCUGUGGCUACGACAUAUGUCGUGGGGUAGGGGAGCGUUCUGUGAGGGCUGAAGUCGUUCUGUAAGGAACGGUGGACUUCACAGAAGUGAGAAUGUUGGUAUGAGUAGCGAAAAGAAUGGUGAGAAUCCAUUCCACCGAAAGCAUAAGGAUUCCUGGGCAACGAUCGUCGUCCCAGGGUAAGUCGGGACCUAAUCCGAGGCAUGGAGCGUAGGAGAUGGACAACUGGCAGAUAUUCCAGUACCGGUAAUGAUUGUUUGAGCGAUGGAGUGACACAGGAGGGCAGGCAGGCAGGAGAUUGGUUGUUCCUGUACAAGCGUGUAGGAUGGGACGCAGGCAAAUCCGCGUCCUGUGAGUCUGAGGCGUGAUGUGGAGGUUCCGGAAACGGAACUGAAGCUGCUGACCCCACACUGUCGAGAAAAGCUUCUAGUUAGAGAAUUACCGCCCGUACCGUAAACCGACACAGGUAUGCGGGGAGAGAAUCCUAAGGUGCGCGGGAGAACCCUCGUUAAGGAACUCGGCAAAAUGUACCCGUAACUUCGGGAUAAGGGUAGCCGCUGUUGUGAAGUCUGAACAGACGGAGCAUGAGGCGGUCGCAGAGAAGAGGCCCAAGCGACUGUUUACCACAAACACAGGUGCCUGCUAAAGAGAAAUCUGACGUAUAGGUGCUGACACCUGCCCAGUGCCGGAAGGUUAAGGAAGGAUGUCCGGAGCAAUCCAAAGCAUUCGACCGAAGCCCCGGUGAACGGCGGCCGUAACUAUAACGGUCCUAAGGUAGCGAAAUUCCUUGUCGGGUAAG
rnacentral:rRNA from 1 species